UUGCUGGUUAUCGGUUAAGUCGGGAGCUAUAUGGGCAUUUGUGGGUCCCGGAUUGCUGAUUAUUUUGAUUAACUUUAUUAUUCUUGUUGUUGUCAUGAGAACGACCUGGGUAAGAUUUGGUGAUGACAAAGAAUACGGCAAAUUAACGUCGGCAACAAAGACAUUUGGCGCAGUCAUUCCUAUUUUGGGAUCGAAUAACCUGGAUUUUUG